CUAUCUAGUUAAAUUACAGGAAACCAGCCAUCAAGUACAUAUAAUUGAGUUGUAUCAUUGUCAACACAAGUUUUUUGUUUUAUUUUUCGUUUUAAAGAACAGGAAAUUGAUGGAGACUACUGGGCCUCACUGAACGGAUGGUUGAAGAACUAUCCCCGUCUAUGAAAUUGCAGGUGAUGUUUGUGAAGGAACUGAACUAGCUCCUAGAACAACAUGAAGUUGGAUUGCCCCUGGACCAUGCUGACAGCAUAGGCAAAAGACUGUCCUGUCUAGACUGUCCUGUGCCAGUGUUGAGAAUGAUGCUUCGACAAAGACCAUGCUCGUCUUCUUUGACCCAACCAUGGCCAACAGUAUUCAGUCUGCCCACCUUCCCCCCAGAAAAAGUACCCAAACCAUAAAAAAUAUACAGAUGUUCUGGGAUCUCAUCACCAGAUUUCCGUUUCUUGGAGAACACAGCUCCUCUGGUAUGUUCUUUCCCAACUGUUAUGCAAAACAUUAUUCCUCAGUUCAAUUUCUAUACUACUUUGAUUUUGUGCCAGCCUCAUAAUUUAUGUCUAUACCCACAGGAGACCCUACUUGAGUGUCUGAGGAACAAAAUAAAAAAAGAAAGGUCACCUUUAGGCAACUUGACGUCCAGGAAAUUAAGAGAAAGUUUGGUGCUGGAAGAAACAGAAUUGUGGACCAUGUGCCUCUGGAGGAACCACCUGGACAUCAGAGAGAAAAUAAGUGCAGAUUGGAAAACGCAGUCCAGAUGCUUUCUGGGAAUUAUCCAACACAAGAGGAACCACCCAACUCAUUUCCGGUCAUCAGCCUCCACGAUGCAGACUCCCCUCCUUGCCAGGAGAGCAUCCAUUAUGAUGGAUGGCAUCACCAUUAUAAGCGGCGAGAUGGAUGUGGCACAUGCCAUUCAAUGUCUGCUGGAGAUGUACUUCGUCAUUGGUGUGGAGUACCCCCGGCAGAUCAAGCAUACCCUUAGCUUUUCAGAGCAUUAUCUUUUCAAAAUACAAAGUUAAAAAAAAGUGUCCAUCCCUGUUCUGAAAUUAUAUAACCAGAUUAGUUCAUCACUGUUACUGUUGAGUUUUUAAAUAAAAAAAUACAGUCCAUUUUUGAA